GCUCGUGUGGUGGAAUUGGCAGACACAACGGACUUAAAAUCCGUCGAAGUAAAAUUCGUACCGGUUCAAGUCCGGUCACGAGCA
rnacentral:tRNA from 1 species